UUGGGAGUAGUUUAGCGGACAGAACAGACAGGUGGAAACACCGUCAAGCGCGGGUUCAAAUCCCGUCUCCUGAG
rnacentral:tRNA from 1 species